rnacentral:rRNA from 1 species
GAAUAUUGCACAAUGGGCGAAAGCCUGAUGCAGCGACGCCGCGUGGGGGAUGAAGGCCUUCGGGUUGUAAACCCCUUUCAGCAGGGAAGAAGCGAAAGUGACGGUACCUGCAGAAGAAGCGCCGGCUAACUACGUGCCAGCAGCCGCGGUAAUACGUAGGGCGCAAGCGUUGUCCGGAAUUAUUGGGCGUAAAGAGCUCGUAGGCGGUUUGUCGCGUCUGCUGUGAAAACCCGAGGCUCAACCUCGGGCCUGCAGUGGGUACGGGCAGACUAGAGUGCGGUAGGGGAGACUGGAAUUCCUGGUGUAGCGGUGGAAUGCGCAGAUAUCAGGAGGAACACCGAUGGCGAAGGCAGCCAUCUGGCCUAAUACUGACGCUGAGGUACGAAAGCAUGGGGAGCAAACAG